GACGGACGCUGGCGGCGUGCUUAACACAUGCAAGUCGAACGAUGAAGCCCAGCUUGCUGGGUGGAAGAGUGGCGAACGGGUGAGUAACACGUGAGUAACCUGCCCUGAACUCUGGGAUAAGCACUGGAAACGGUGUCUAAUACUGGAUACGACCUAUCACCGCAUGGUGUGUGGGUGGAAAGAUUUAUCGGUUUUGGAUGGACUCGCGGCCUAUCAGCUAGAUGGUGAGGUAAUGGCUCACCAUGGCGACGACGGGUAGCCGGCCUGAGAGGGUGACCGGCCACACUGGGACUGAGACACGGCCCAGACUCCUACGGGAGGCUGCAGUGGGGAAUAUUGCACAAUGGGCGCAAGCCUGAUGCAGCAACGCCGCGUGAGGGAUGACGGCCUUCGGGUUGUAAACCUCUUUUAGUAGGGAAGAAGCGAAAGUGACGGUACCUGCAGAAAAAGCACCGGCUAACUACGUGCCAGCAGCCGCGGUAAUACGUAGGGUACAAGCGUUGUCCGGAAUUAUUGGGCGUAAAGAGCUCGUAGGCGGCUUGUCGCGUCUGCUGUGAAAUCCCGGGGCUCAACCCCGGGCCUGCAGUGGGUACGGGCAAGCUAGAGUGCGGUAGGGGAGAUUGGAAUUCCUGGUGUAGCGG
rnacentral:rRNA from 1 species